GGAGCCAGCUCUGCCCUGAAGGGGCUGAAGCCCACCCGGCCUGCAGCUGCUUCCUGCUGCAGGACAGCCCUGGAAGGUCUGCAGCUCCCGUCAAAGGUGCAGAGGGUGCAGGCCCAUUUCACAAUGGGGAAGACUGAUGCUCAGAGAAUAGCCAGUAUGCUUGAUCAUACCGGUGGCAUGUGGCAGAGAAGGCUGAAGUCCAGGUUCUACUGUUGGCAAAGCUUGGGCCCUUUCCACUCUGCUGUGCCUUCCUCACCUCCACAGUGACCUGGACAUGAAAGGCCCUCUUGGAUGAACUGGUAGUGUCACUGGCAGCAGCUGCUAGGCUACCAGGCUGGGCUGGCUUGCCAUCCUGGCUUCCCCACUGGCCGGCACAGAUCUUCACGGAUUGCAGCAUUCAGGACCUGAGUCCAUGCCCAUGCAGAGGCCCAUUGCAGUGUUUGCUUAGCAUAGCUGCAUUUCCAGAAUGUAGGCAGGAGAAGCUGUAAAAGAUUCUCACCCUGCCAUGCACACUGAUGGCUCACAUUCUAAAGAGUCAGGAGUCAUUUUGGAUUUGGGCUGACCUGGUAGACUUCUGAAAGACAGUGCUCUGGGUUCAAGUUGUCCUCAGGGCUGGAUGAUCCAUAGCAAAUAUCCCCUGAUGGAUAAGCAUUGUGCUGAGAGACUUGCCUCCAUCAGCUGUGUAAACCUCAGGAUGACCUGCACACAGGUAUACUAAGGCACACAGAGACCAGCUCGUAGUCAGUGACAAGUAACUUGCCAAGAGCUGUGGUUUAAAAGCAUGUCUGCAAAUUCUUGGACACUCUUGUCAUCCAGAAAUAGAGUCUAACCCUCCUCCCUUGAAUACGGGCUGGCUUCAGUGGUGGAAAUGACAAUGUGUGAGUUUGAGGUUUGAUUAGAAAAGAUGACACAGCCUCUGCCUGACUCUCAAGGCCCUUGUUCUUGGACAUUAGCUGCCAUGCUGGGAGGAAGCCCAGCAGCCACACAGAGAGGCCACGACAGCCGAGGUCCCAGCCAAGCCAGCAUCAACUGCCCAACACGUCAAUGAGUGAUCCUGCAGAGCCUCCCAUCUCCUAGCCACCGCAGCUGAUGCUCUGAGAGCGGAGGCAAGCUGUCCUUGCUGGGCGCUGCUUAAACUGCAGAUGUAUGAACAAAAUAAAAAUGGUGGUUAUUUUAAGACACUACAUUUUGGGUCUCUAGGUGUUUGGGGGUGGUUUUUCUCUAGCAAUAGGUCCCCAGUCUUGUGCUUUUAGGGUCCUUGUCAAGAAGAAAAGUACAAUGAGGAGGCGAGCCAUGUGCCCCUUAC
rnacentral:lncRNA from 1 species